rnacentral:rRNA from 1 species
GAUGAACGCUGGCGGCGUGCCUAAUACAUGCAAGUCGAGCGAACGGACGAGAAGCUUGCUUCUCUGAUGUUAGCGGCGGACGGGUGAGUAACACGUUGAUAACCUACCUAUAAGACUGGGAUAACUUCGGGAAACCGGAGCUAAUACCGGAUAAUAUUUUGAACCGCAUGGUUCAAAAGUGAAAGACGGUCUUGCUGUCACUUAUAGAUGGAUCCGCGCUGCAUUAGCUAGUUGGUAAGGUAACGGCUUACCAAGGCAACGAUGCAUAGCCGACCUGAGAGGGUGAUCGGCCACACUGGAACUGAGACACGGUCCAGACUCAUACGGGAGGCAGCAGUAGGGAAUCUUCCGCAAUGGGCGAAAGCCUGACGGAGCAAAGCCGCGUGAGUGAUGAAGGUCUUCGGAUCGUAAAACUCUGUUAUUAGGGAAGAACAUAUGUGUAAGUAACUGUGCACAUCUUGACGGUACCUAAUCAGAAAGCCACGGCUAACUACGUG